rnacentral:rRNA from 1 species
UGCGGAAUAUUGGACAAUGGGUGAGAGCCUGAUCCAGCCAUCCCGCGUGAAGGAUGACGGUCCUAUGGAUUGUAAACUUCUUUUGUACAGGGAUAAACCUACUCUCGUGAGGGUAGCUGAAGGUACUGUACGAAUAAGCACCGGCUAACUCCGUGCCAGCAGCCGCGGUAAUACGGAGGGAGCAAGCGUUAUCCGGAUUUAUUGGGUUUAAAGGGUCCGUAGGCGGACUUGUAAGUCAGUGGUGAAAUCUCAUAGCUUAACUAUGAAACUGCCAUUGAUACUGCAGGUCUUGAGUAAAUUUGAAGUGGCUGGAAUAAGUAGUGUAGCGGUGAAAUGCAUAGAUAUUACUUAGAACACCAAUUGCGAAGGCAGGUCACUAAGAUUUAACUGACGCUGAUGGACGAAAGCGUGGGGAGCGAACA